UAGUCCACGCAGUAAACGAUGUCUAUUAGAAUUUUGCGGCUAUAUGCUGUGGGAUUCAAAGCUAACGCAUUAAAUAGACCGCCUGGGGAGUACGGCCGCAAGGUUAAAACUCAAAUGAAUUGACGGGGGCCCGCACAAGCGGUGGAGCAUGUGGUUUAAUUCGAUGCAACGCGAAGAACCUUACCAUCCCUUGACAUCCAGAGAAUCUGUUAGAGAUAGUAGAGUGCCUUCGGGAACUCUGAGACAGGUGCUGCAUGGCUGUCGUCAGCUCGUGUUGUGAAAUGUUGGGUUAAGUCCCGCAACGAGCGCAACCCUUAUCCUUAUUUGCCAGCGGGUUAUGCCGGGAACUCUAGGGACACUGCCGGUGAUAAACCGGAGGAAGGUGGGGACGACGUCAAGUCAUCAUGGCCCUUACGGGAUGGGCUACACACGUGCUACAAUGGCAAAUACAGAGGGUUGCCAAGCCGCGAGGUGGAGCUAAUCCCAGAAAAUGCAUCCCAGUUCGG
rnacentral:rRNA from 1 species